rnacentral:lncRNA from 1 species
GAGAAUUCAGCUAGAUACAUAUGGUUGCAAAGCUAUCCAUUAACUUGAAAUAAAAAGCAAUGAGUGUACCUUCCUGUUGAAAGAGUUAUAACCUUUUAAGGAGAAGCUUCAAUUUGAAAAUAGAUAACGACACGUCUUAAACAAAAUCACUGGCCGGAGCUCGAAUUUUGUAUUAAGUAAAUUUAGUUGUAAAUACAAAAUUAACGACCUCGCUAUCUCGACCGUAAAACUAUACCGGCAGCCUCGGACUCAAACCCAAAUCAACUCCAGUUCAUCUUGUUGGACCCAAACUCAGACUUAACUCAGUGGCAAAACUCGAAGGGCACACUCGAUCUCGGCACAAUUGACCUCCAAUUGUUUUUCCGUUUCUUUUACAAUUUUUUAUCAAAGACCUUUCAAAUUUCUUGUUCUCCUCCACUAUUUUUGUAUGUCCUCCUCUAUCCCGUUUAUGGACUCUUCCUAUUAUACUAUCUAUUCUUUUAUCUAUGUGUAUUUGUUUAUGUAAAAGAUGAAAGAGAUUUUCUCAACCAUAUCAAAAUUUUCGUUUAUGUUUGUGUGUAUAUUAGGGUGAGUUUGGCAGUGAUUCGUUUUGGAGCAGGGAGACAGGGAAUGAUGGAGGUGAGGAAGGAGAGUUUCCGUGGUGUGUAGAUGAUGACUGUGAGGUGAGGUCCGAUUUUUCAUGUGACUUUUUGUGUAGUCUUUUCUUUUGGUUUUUUUUAUUGGGUAGAGAAUGAUUUUACAGAGUGUGUGGAAUGUGGUGUUAUAUAAGGGAGUUUUAUUUUAGAAAAAGGUGUUAUGUGAGGUAAUAUUUUUGAAGGAAG